GUGGCUAGAUAAUAAAUGGAGCCCACAUCAAUUCUCUUAUGUAUGCACAUACGAAGCCACCCAAGACUUCAAAUCUCCAAGAUUAAAGUUCAAGAGUUUCUUUUCAUUCCCCACUUCUUCUCUCCUACUUUCUCUUUCUAAACAAUCCGGCAGGCAGCAAUUCUGGUGAGUGAGCUCCGGCGGCGGUGCCGCCGUGAGCGGCGGCAGAGAUGACUUUUCGUUUGAGCAGCGAUUAGUGGGGAUACGAGUGACGGCGGCACAUCUCCACCUCCAACGAGCUCCGUUAAGUGGGUGAUGCCGGGAACGGUGAGGGUGGCUGAGGUGGUGACGAUGCUGUGGUGCGACAUGGACCGGCAACCCACUUCGCGGCGGUGGCGGUGAACUCCGACGAUUUUCACGUUCCGGAUCGACUCUGUUCAACUCGGCUCAACCCGGUCGACUCGGUCAACCGGUCAAAGUAGGUCAACAAGUCAACGGAUGGCUCGGUUUGGUCAACGACUCAGAGUUUCGGGUCUCGGUUCGAAAUUCGGGUCAACACUCAGUCAACGCUUAGUCAACAGCAGGCAACGGUAUUGUUCGGUUUCAGAAUUUUUGGUUCGGGUCUUGGUUUUAGUACUACAAGUGCAACAGUUAGCGGUUCGGCUCAGUUUCGAUGUUCGGGUCAAAGAUGGUCAACGGGUCAACAUCUGGUCAAACCCGAGUCAAACUCGGUCAACACCAGUCAACAGAAGUCAAGGAUGGUCAACUCAGACCCGGUUGCAUUUUCAAAACUAUGGAACGGUUGGAAUAGGAGAACCCAUGGGAAUUCGAGUACUUAUCGGCGUUCACUGUUUAGAAGUCUUAACCAUUUGCUUUCGCUGUGCAAUGAAGAUACCAGUCCAGUCACGCCAGCUCUGAUAAUUUCGGGGUGUGACAGGAUAAGGAUUGCACUAAUGGUUAAUCAACUAAGAACACUAACGCAUAUGAUUCUGAUUAUCAAUAUGUUGAGGAAGAUAACAUACUGUAUGAUAUUGAAGUGGAUAUGCAGAGAUUUGGGUCUAAUGUAGAGUUUACAUGUGAAGAACGGUAUGAGUCAAGUGAUUAGGAUCAUGAUGAUCAGGGAGUGUUGUAGGUCAUGUGCCAAUUGAUGUUGACAACCUUGAUAGUGGAUCUGAUGACAAUACAAUACUUAGAGAUAAGGUUGCCAAGAAGAUAAGAUGGAAAAAGAAAGUUGUUGAGAAGAAAAAGGGUGCAUCAUGUCACACCCCAACCAACGGCGAAAACAUCGGAGAGAGACGAAAUAGAUUGCUCAUUACACAUAACAUAAUUUUGACAAGUAUUUAAUGGUAAAUUUCAUUUCAUUGCUAUAAGGAUCAAAUUACAUUGUUUG